UUUGAUCAUGGCUCAGAUUGAACGCUGGCGGCAGGCCUAACACAUGCAAGUCGAACGGUAACAGGAAACAGCUUGCUGUUUCGCUGACGAGUGGCGGACGGGUGAGUAAUGUCUGGGAAACUGCCUGAUGGAGGGGGAUAACUACUGGAAACGGUAGCUAAUACCGCAUAACGUCGCAAGACCAAAGAGGGGGACCUUCGGGCCUCUUG
rnacentral:rRNA from 1 species